UCUAUAUAUACUGAGCUUUUCACUUCCUUAAACAUGCCUAGUUCACCUUUAAUGAUUUCCUUUGGAAAGAGUCACUGAACUUAAUUCUGGGUUAAUUCCCCUUGUCUGCAUUCUUAUAGCACUCUACUUCCAUGGUAGCUCCAGUACAUUGCAUUGUAAUUGACAAAAUGUCUUGAUUUGUCAUUUACUGAUCUAUAUGAGGCAGAAAAUUUCUUAUUCAUGAUUAAACUGUCAUUGUCCCAAACACGACCUUGAACGUAGUAGGCUCUCAAAUAAUGAACAAAUGAAUGAAUUGCUAUUUAAAUUACUUUUUGCAGUUACUUUCAAAAAAUUCCAACAGAAGCCCCACAGCUGGAACUCAAAGCAAAUUACGGUCUCGUAGAGCCUGUACCUUUCGAAUUUCCUCCUACAAGUGCUCAGUGGACACCAGAAACAUUGGCUGCAUUUGAUCUCACCAAAAGACCAAGGAUGACAGUACUAAACCCAAACCAGAAGAAGAAGUAAAACCCGUGAAAGAACCAGAUAUCAAACCUCAGAAGGACACUGGGUGCCACAUCUCCUAAAAUACAGUUUGCACUUAGAAUUUCUCUAGCCGUAGAGAGAGAUAAACCACAGAAUUGCAGCUCUUAUUUCUCCAAAUGAGUUCUCUGAAGCUUGUAGAAUAACUUGCAUUCAGAGGGUAUCUGCCUUCAGCUUACUUGUUCUUGAUUUUUAAUACAGGAGGUGUUUCUUGCUUUGUUUUCAGAUUCUCCUUUCAAUCAGGACAACAUUUGGAAGAUUUUAUUGUGCCUCUAAAGGGUGUAUUUGGGGGUUGGAUCUUUUGUUAAACUCUGGAUAGUAAUAAGUUUCAGGUCAAUAUAGGCCCAAAUUGUGGUUUCAGGUAUGUUUUUUCUUUUUUCUUUUCCUUUCUUUUCUUCUUUUUUUCUUUUUUUUUUUGAGACAGAGUCUCCCUCUGUUGCCAAGGCUGGAGUGCAGUGGCAUGAUCUCAGCUCACUGCAACUUCCACCUCCUGGAUUCAAGUGAUUCUCCUGCCUCAGCCUCCUGAGUAGCUGGGAUUACAGAUACACGCCACCAUGCCCAGCUAAUUUUUGUAUUUUUAGUAGAGACGGGUCUCACCAUGUUGGCCAGGCUGGUCUUAAAGAUUUGGCCUAAUUUCAUAUUCUGACCUUAGCUGAUCCACCCGCCUCCCAAAGUGCUGGGAUUACAGGUGUGAGCCACCGCCCCAGCCUCAGGUAUGUUUUUCUAUUUACACACACAAAAAUUAAUUUUCCUUCCUCUUACUUGAUAUCAGAAGAAUGACAGGAAUCCAUUUUUAACAGAGAUAGUUUUUCCACUUUUCCAUCGUGUUAAUCAGAACACAGACUUAUGUUCUCAGUCAUUUAUCUUUUUCUGGUGGGUGGAAAAUUGUCACUUAUAGUUGAAGAUCAGAAAACCAUCACACCAAGUCCUUUACAUGUAUUAGAAUCAAUAAUUACUCAAAAUCAGUGUUUAUAGGUAUGUUGGGACCUUUAAGAACUUACCCUAUUCCAGUAGCCCUGUGCUUCAUUCAUUCAGUAUCCGUAGCCCUGCACUGAUUUUUACAAAUAUCUUUCUAGUGGGUUUUUUACUUAGAGGACAGACCUUUGUAAUAGUUAUGAUAGUCUUAAUGUUUAUAUAUAGGAAAGACAGAAUGGAAAAUGUUUUUUGAAGUCAAAUAUUGCAUGAUGUAAAGAAAAAAAACUAAAAUGAGAUAGGUUGUCCUGAAUUACACUGUUAACUCUCUACUUCUUUAUUAAAGAAGUUAUAGUAAAAUGCCUUGGUGACCUGAUUUCAGUGUACAUUUGUUUUAUGUGGUUUUCUGAUAAUGUCCUGUCAGAAUUAUAUUUCUUUAGGCCAAAGGCCAUAGCAAAAACAUAGAGAACAAUACAGAUACAAUAUGAUCUUAAAAAUAGAUUGUAACAGUUGAAACAAUUAGUGUGUAUGCAAAUUUGGGAAAUAGUGGAUGCAUAAUACUUAAACAGAAGUCACACAUCUGUAGGCUUAACUUCUGAUUAUUCUCUUGGAGCAUUAGGUAAUUUUUCUAUUGUAAGUGACAGGUUGAUUCACUUAAUAUAGAUAACAUAAGUAGCAUACGCUAAAAGCCACUGUGUGCCAGCCACUGUGCUGGACACUUACAUAGAUAAGCCAUUGAAUCCACAGCAGCCCGGUGAGAAAUAAGCAAAGUGUUGAAAUAGGAAUAUACAUUUCAUUAUGAAAAAUGAGUAGAUUAUGCCUAUCUGAAUCAAUACUGCAUUCAAAUAAGUGAUUACUUAAAUCAUAUAUCAUAGUUUACAUUCCUUAAAAAAGGUAGAUAAAUUCAGAGGUUUUUCUUAACAUAUGAAAUACUAAAUACUGCUAGCUGCAUGAUAUUAAUAUUUGAAGCUGCAGUUUCUGAAAUAAGUGGAGUAAUAAGUAAACAGACAUUUAAUUUUAUUUUAAUAUCUAUGGAAAAUGCUUUAUUAAAUCUCACUGCAUUUUCUGUUGUCUUUUUUACAGAACCACUUGUCUGUUGUGUGCCACUUACUGACAAAACGUUAAACAGUACUUGAUGCCAGCUCUUUACUCUCUGGCUUGUGGGACCUACUCCUCUUAGAUACUUGUGCUUCUUAAUCUACUUACUAAAUUUUCACAUUGACAUUUUUGGGGAUGAUACUGUCGUAUAUGAAAUGGGAAAUGUCAUAUGUCCAGUGCUUCUGUAAAAUGAAGCAGUACUGGUAUUACUUUAAAUCAGUAGGCAUCUUUGACAUGAGAUAAAUAUUUUGUUGACUAAAAUAUCCCGUUAUAUGUAAUGUUUUUAAAACCUUGUUGGAAAUUAUCAAAUGUAGAGAAAUUACAUGAAGGUUAUGGAGAGAUGUAACUACUUGUGUUUACUAUUACACGCAUUUCGUACCGGGCAGUGACAACUAACAUGUUACUUCUACUCAAAGUGUAUAAUGGGUUCUCUAUUUAUGAAAAUAAAAGUAAUUUUACUCACAA